GAUGAACGCUGGCGGCGUGCUUAACACAUGCAAGUCGAACGGUGAAAGAGAGCUUGCUCUCUGGAUCAGUGGCGAACGGGUGAGUAACACGUGAGCAAUCUGCCCCUGACUCUGGGAUAAGCGCUGGAAACGGCGUCUAAUACCGGAUACGAGCUGCGAAGGCAUCUUCAGCAGCUGGAAAGAACUUCGGUCAGGGAUGGGCUCGCGGCCUAUCAGCUAGUUGGUGAGGUAACGGCUCACCAAGGCGUCGACGGGUAGCCGGCCUGAGAGGGUGACCGGCCACACUGGGACUGAGACACGGCCCAGACUCCUACGGGAGGCAGCAGUGGAGAAUAUUGCACAAUGGGCGAAAGCCUGAUGCAGCAACGCCGCGUGAGGGACGACGGCCUUCGGGUUGUAAACCUCUUUUAGCAGGGAAGAAGCGAAAGUGACGGUACCUGCAGAAAAAGCGCCGGCUAACUACGUG
rnacentral:rRNA from 1 species